GUGGGGAAUCUUGCGCAAUGGGCGAAAGCCUGACGCAGCCAUGCCGCGUGAAUGAUGAAGGUCUUAGGAUUGUAAAAUUCUUUCACCGGGGACGAUAAUGACGGUACCCGGAGAAGAAGCUCCGGCUAACUUCGUGCCAGCAGCCGCGGUAAUACGAAGGGGGCUAGCGUUGCUCGGAAUUACUGGGCGUAAAGGGCGCGUAGGCGGACAGCUUAGUCAGAGGUGAAAGCCCAGGGCUCAACCUUGGAAUGGCCUUUGAUACUGGCUGUCUUGAGUUUGGGAGAGGUGAGUGGAACUCCGAGUGUAGAGGUGAAAUUCGUAGAUAUUCGGAAGAACACCAGUGGCGAAGGCGACUCACUGGCCCAAUACUGACGCUGAGGCGCGAAAGCGUGGGGAGCAAACAGGAUUAGAUACCCGUGUAGUCC
rnacentral:rRNA from 1 species